GAAAUAUAAUUUUUUUAGUGUAAUCACUACUAUAUUGAAUACUGCAAUAUGUUAAUUAACUAUAUAAUGUUACAUAAUAUUCAUUACUAGAGCAUUUUGCUACAAUAUUGUUUAAAAUCAUUGAAAAUUUUAAAAUGAAAUUUUGCAUUUGUAAAUAUGAAUAUUUGUAAAUCAAAUGUUCAUAACUUGAGGUGAACCUGUAUUAGUCAAAUUCCAAGGUCUGGGAAACUGAGUCCAUUAGAAGAUAGCCAAUAACAGUAUUCCAAACAAGAAAGGAUUUAUUGGUAUCAAAGAACAAAAACAGAAGAGCAUGCAAUAUAUCAAACUUGAGGCCAUCAUAACCUGGUAGUCAUCCCACCAAUAAUAACAAGCUUAAUGAAUCUCUCUAUUUAGACAUGCAGUAGAGAAAAGAUGAUAUUUGCUUCCCGAUAUUCAUUGACAGCUUGCCAUUUUCUUAUCCAGAGAGCCAAUUCCAUGGUGGCUGGUAGCUGCAUUUUGCAAUCUGCCAUGGAUUGAGUGCAAAUUGCUAUCAAAUUGGUGUGUUGUUACUGCUGUGGGUAAGCUCUGUUGUGAAGAUGAAAUAAGAAAUGGGAGACAAAACUUGAUUGAAAGUAGUCAAGAUUAUUGAUGUUACCUGAGCCUGGUUGGUAAUAACAUAAUACUCCUCUUGGAGUCAUGGGCAAAGAGGAUCAAGCCUUGGAUCUGAAGCUCAGUUUGGUUAGGGACAUAGUUUUGUCCAAAAUAUUAAGGGAAGACCAUAGUGUGUCCACCAUUAGGUCAACUGAACAAAAUGAGAGAACAAUAGGUGAAAUGUUGCCCCUGUAAUGAGGGACAAAACCAGCAUUGAUGAAGGUGAUAGUUUUUCUUCAUUUCUUGAGUAUAGAAUGCCAUUCAUGCAAAAUCAUUGCCACAGUCCCCUUCAUCUCAAAUCCUAUAGCUCAAAUAGAAUUGUUGAAACACUAAUGAAAGUUGAAGUUUUAGUCUAUCCUGUGAGUUGUUUGAAGAUUUUGACUAGCUUCCAAAUCUGACUUCUGACAUUUCUUCAGAAUAUCCAAUAAGGAUUCUCAAUUAACACUGAAAUAAUUCAAAUUUAUAAUUAACUUUCUUCUUAAAAGUUUGGAUUAUGUAAUCAUGCAAUUUGAAGAUAACCAUAUUAUUGAAAUCAGCAAUAAAUAUUAUCUCAAAAGUGGGUAGGAUGCUCAAAUUUAAUAGUGCAUAGUUGUUUACAAGUAGCAGACCAAUUAUGCACUAAUGCAUUAUGGAGAAAAGAUCAAAGAACUGCUUGGAUAGAGUGGGUCAUGGACUGGUCCUAAAGCAAGUGCUGAGCAUUACAGUCCUAUCCUAGGAGGGAAUGGCACAUGGAAUGAGUGAUAAUGGCAUCAAAGUAGACCUCCAAAAUAUGCCUAUGAAAAAUAUAUGAAGGAGAAUCAAAAAGUUACUUGCGCUUUCAUGAAAAACAAUAUAUAGAACAUUUGGAGUUUUUAUUUUAUUUAUUUGAAAGUAUUGGGUUGUUCGGAAAGUUCGUGCCGAUUUUUGAUAGGUGGAC
rnacentral:lncRNA from 1 species